GUGGGUGAUAUGCUGCGAGGGUCUGACAACCAAAGGAGCAGCUGCUGUACAAGCAAUGCGGCGAGAGAGAGGAGCGAUCAUGGAGGAGUGUUUGCCAUACGGGAGCUAUUUCAAUAGCUGUGCUUUCCUGAAACAAGCUGAAGACGUGUUGGACCGGGCUUGGAGCACUGCAGCAUAUUCCAUGGAGAGAGAACCUUACUUUUCUGCUGGUGUGGUGUUGAGAAGGGAAUUCCUCUUGAUGUGAAUGGAGAGCAGUUUUUGAACAUAUACUUUGGCACAAAAUAUACUGACUUUCUGCAGGGAUGUGCUGAACCAUGCAGCAGGAAAAGAGGAAUCCAAGCUGAGCAAAGCUGAGAGAAAAUAAAAUCAACUACAGAAGGUAAAAUGUCAGCCACCUUCCCCUUUGAAUUCUGCAAGACAUAACAGCUGAAGAGGUAAGAGCAGAUAACCAGAAAACAUGCAUCAGAGAAGCCUUUUUUGAGAACCAUUGGGUCUGCCAAGUGGUCUGGGCAGAAAAGCAGUAGCCUCGAAAGACACAUCUUUUAAAGAAGCUGAAUGAUUUUGGGACAUUGGUCUUCACUGCAGACAAAGGUAGAGAGAGAGAUGCCAUCCCACGAUGCUACUCUCUAGCAGUUAAAACUGAGGAACUGUUGGGCUUGAGGUAACCAGACACCCGCAUGCCACCUGAACGCCACUGGCUUCCCUACAGAAAGGUUUGCUGCCUUUUCAGAACAGUCUCUCAUGGGAUUCUUCAUUAGUUCCUGAAUCCCAAGCAGAGGCUUAUUGCCUGGUCUGCGUGAUAGUUUCUGGAUGUUUUCCAAUGGGUUUGUAAGUAAAACUAUGCUUAAAAUAGUGGAUCUCUUUGUUUGGAAGGAAAAAUGAAGCCCUUUUUUUUUUUUUUUU
rnacentral:lncRNA from 1 species